UUCCGGUUGAUCCUGCCGGAGGCUACCGCUAUUGGAGUUCGAUUAAGCCAUGCGAGUCGAGAGUCUUAGGGACUCGGCGUACCGCUCAGUAACACGUGGGUAACCUGCCCUAUGCUGGGGAAUAACCUCGGGAAACUGAGAAUAAUACCCCAUAGUUCACCACGCCUGGAACGGUGGGUGGAUGAAAGCUCCGGCGGCAUAGGAUGGGCCUGCGACGUAUCAGGUUGUAGGGGGUGUAACGUACCCUCUAGCCAUCAACGCGUACGGGUGUUGGAAGACAUAGCCCGGAGAUGGAUUCUGAGACACGAAUCCAGACCCUACGGGGUGCAGCAGGCGCGAAAACUUGGCAAUGCGAGCAAUCGUGACCAGGGAACUCCAAGUGGCUGGGGUAAUACCCAGUUUUUUCUUGACUCUUCAAAGGUCUUGGAAUAAGGGGUGGGUAAGGACGGUGCCAGCCGCCGCGGUAAUACCGGCGCCUCAAGUGGUAGUCGCUUUUAUUGGGCCUAAAACGUCCGUAGCCGGUCUGGUGCAUUCGUGGGUAAAUCAACCCGCUCAACGGGUUGAAUUCUGCGAGCACGGCCAGACUUGGGACCGGGAGAGGUGUGGGGUACUCUCAGGGUAGGGGUAAAAUCCUGUCAUCCUGAGAGGACCACCUGUUGCGAAGGCGCCACACUAGAACGGAUUC
rnacentral:rRNA from 1 species